GGACUGAGACACGGCCCAGACUCCUACGGGAGGCAGCAGUGGGGAAUCUUGGACAAUGGGGGCAACCCUAAUCCAGCGACGCCGCGUGGAUGACGAAGGCCUUAGGGUUGUAAAGUCCUUUUCUCGGGGAAGAUGAUGACGGUACCCGAGGAAUAAGCAUCGGCUAACUCCGUGCCAGCAGCCGCGGUAAUACGGAGGAUGCAAGCGUUAUCCGGAAUGAUUGGGCGUAAAGGGUCCGCAGGUGGCUAUGUAAGUCUGCUGUUAAAGAAUCUAGCUCAACUAGAUAAAAGCAGUGGAAACUACAAGGCUAGAGUGCGUUCGGGGUAGAGGGAAUUCCUGGUGUAGCGGUGAAAUGCGUAGAUAUCAGGAAGAACACCAGUGGCGAAGGCGCUCUACUAGGCCGCAACUGACACUGAGGGACGAAAGCUAGGGGAGCGAAUGGGAUUAGAUACCCCAGUAGUCCUAGCCGUAAACGAUGGAUACUAGGCGUGGCUCGUAUCGACCCGAGCCGUGCCGGAGCUAACGCGUUAAGUAUCCCGCCUGGGGAGUACGCACGCAAGUGUGAAACUCAAAGGAAUUGACGGGGGCCCGCACAAGCGGUGGAGUAUGUGGUUUAAUUCGAUGCAACGCGAAGAACCUUACCAAGACUUGACAUGUCGCGAAUCUCUCUGAAAGGAGAGAGUGCCUUCGGGAGCGCGAACACAGGUGGUGCAUGGCUGUCGUCAGCUCGUGUCGUGAGAUGUUGGGUUAAGUCCCGCAACGAGCGCAACCCUCGUUUUUAGUUGCCAGCAUUAAGUUGGGCACUCUAGAGAGACUGCCGGUGACAAACCGGAGGAAGGUGGGGAUGACGUCAGGUCAGCAUGCCCCUUACGUCUUGGGCUACACACGUACUACAAUGCUACGGACAAAGGGCAGCUACACAGCAAUGUGAUGCAAAUCUCACAAAACCGUAGCUCAGUUCAGAUCGCAGGCUGCAACUCGCCUGCGUGAAGUCGGAAUCGCUAGUAAUUGCAGGUCAGCAUACUGCAGUGAAUUCGUUCCCGGGCCUUGUACACACCGCCCGUCACACCAUGGAAGCUGGUCACGCCCGAAGUCGUUACCCCAACUGUUCGCAGAGGGGGAUGCCGAAGGCAGGACUGGUGACUGGGGUGAAGUCGUAACAAGGUAGCCGUACCGGAAGGUGUGGCUG
rnacentral:rRNA from 1 species